rfam:Candidatus Amoebophilus asiaticus 5a2, complete genome.
GCCAGGGUGGUGGAAUUGGUAGACACGCAAGACUUAAAAUCUUGUGGACAAUUUGUCCGUGCGGGUUCGAGUCCCGCCCUUGGUA